rnacentral:rRNA from 1 species
GGAUCCAGCCAUACCGCGUGGGGUGAAGAAGGCCUUCGGGUUGUAAAGCCCUUUUGUUGGGAAAGAAAUCCAGCUGGCUAAUACCCGGUUGGGAUGACGGUACCCAAAGAAUAAGCACCGGCUAACUUCGUGCCAGCAGCCGCGGUAAUACGAAGGGUGCAAGCGUUACUCGGAAUUACUGGGCGUAAAGCGUGCGUAGGUGGUCGUUUAAGUCCGUUGUGAAAGCCCUGGGCUCAACCUGGGAACUGCAGUGGAUACUGGACGACUAGAGUGUGGUAGAGGGUAGCGGAAUUCCUGGUGUAGCAGUGAAAUGCGUAGAGAUCAGGAGGAACAUCCAUGGCGAAGGCAGCUACCUGGACCAACACUGACACUGAGGCACGAAAGCGUGGGGAGCAAACAGGAUUAGAUACCCCCGGUAGAAU